GCGGCUAUUCCUUCAUCUUUUGGAAUAUUUGUGUAUAAAGAACACACAUCCAUUGAAACCAAAAUUGUGUUGUUAGGUAAAGGACUUAAGGAAUUCAUUUUCUUUAAAUAGUCAGUCGUAUCUUGAAUAUGAGAUGGUAAUUGUUUAACAUGUGGUCUGAGGUGGUAAUCAACAAAUUCUGAAUUUUUUCGGUGGAAUGGCCAUUAGCUGAUACUAUAGGUUUCCCUGGAAUCCCUUCUUUGUGGAGUUU
rnacentral:lncRNA from 1 species